rnacentral:rRNA from 1 species
AGAGUUUGAUCCUGGCUCAGGAUAAACGCUGGCGGCGUGCCUAAUGCAUGCAAGUCGAACGGUCUUUCUCCUUCGGGAGGGAGAUAGUGGCAAACGGGUGAGUAACACGUGGGGAUCUGCCCAGUAGUGGGGAACAACUCCUCGAAAGAGGAGCUAAUACCGCAUACGGUCUGUGUCGGGAGACAAGAGACUAAAGCCUUCGCAAGAGGGCGCUAUUGGAGGAACCUGCGGCUGAUUAGCUAGUUGGUGGGGUAAAGGCCUACCAAGGCGAUGAUCAGUAGCUGGUCUGAGAGGAUGGACAGCCACACUGGGACUGAGAUACGGCCCAGACUCCUACGGGAGGCAGCAGCAAGGAAUUUUCGUCAAUGGGGGGAACCCUGAACGAGCAACGCCGCGUGGGCGAAGAAGUCCUUCGGGAUGUAAAGCCCUUUUCCCUGUGAAGAGCGAAAGACGGUAGCAGGGGAAUAAGCAUCGGCUAACUACGUGCCAGCCGCCGCGGUAAUUC